rnacentral:rRNA from 1 species
GUGGGGAGCAAACAGGAUUAGAUACCUGGUAGUCCACGCUGUAAACGAUGUCGAUUUGGAGGUUGUUCCCUUGAGGAGUGGCUUCCGGAGCUAACGCGUUAAAUCGACCGCUGGGGAGUACGGCCGCAAGGUUAAAACUCAAAUGAAUUGACGGGGGCCCGCACAAGCGGUGGAGCAUGUGGUUUAAUUCGAUGCAACGCGAAGAACCUUACCUACUCUUGACAUCCAGAGAACUUUCCAGAGAUGGAUUGGUGCCUUCGGGAACUCUGAGACAGGUGCUGCAUGGCUGUCGUCAGCUCGUGUUGUGAAAUGUUGGGUUAAGUCCCGCAACGAGCGCAACCCUUAUCCUUUGUUGCCAGCGGUUCGGCCGGGAACUCAAAGGAGACUGCCAGUGAUAAACUGGAGGAAGGUGGGGAUGACGUCAAGUCAUCAUGGCCCUUACGAGUAGGGCUACACACGUGCUACAAUGGCGUAUACAAAGAGAAGCGACCUCGCGAGAGCAAGCGGACCUCAUAAAGUACGUCGUAGUCCGGAUUGGAGUCUGCAACUCGACUCCAUGAAGUCGGAAUCGCUAGUAAUCGUAGAUCAGAAUGCUACGGUGAAUACGUUCCCGGGCCUUGUACACGCCGCCCGUCACACCAUGGGAGUGGGUUGCAAAAGAAGUAGGUAGCUUAACCUUCGGGAGGGCGCUUACCACUUUGUGAUUCAUGACUGGGGUGAAGUCGUAACAAGGUAACCA